rnacentral:rRNA from 1 species
UACGGAGGGUGCAAGCAUUAAUCGGAUUUAUUGGGCGUAAAGGGCGCGUAGGCGGGGAUGUAAGUCAGAUGUGAAAUCCCGGGGCUCAACCUCGGAACAGCAUUUGAAACUACAUUUCUUGAGGGUAGAAGGAGAAAACGGAAUUCCACAUGUAGCGGUGAAAUGCGUAGAUAUGUGGAAGAACACCUGUGGCGAAGGCGGUUUUCUAUUUUAUUCCUGACGCUAAAGCGCGAAAGCAAGGGGAUCAAACAGG